CAGCCGCGGUAAUUCCAGCUCCAAUAGCGUAUAUUAAAGUUGUUGCAGUUAAAAAGCUCGUAGUUGAAUUUCGGGAUUGACGUGAUGGUCGUGCCUUAAGGGGUAUGAACUGUCGCAGUUGAUUUCUCACCUUCUGGAGAAGCAUGAUGUCCUUAAUUGGGUGUCAUGUGGAACCAGGACCUUUACCUUGAAAAAAUUAGAGUGUUUAAAGCAGGCAUUUUGCUCGAAUACAUUAGCAUGGAAUAAUAGAAUAGGACGGCAUGGUUCUAUUUUGUUGGUUUCUAGGAUCACCGUAAUGAUUAAUAGGGGGGGCAUUAGUAUUCAAUUGUCAGAGGUGAAAUUCUUGGAUUUAUUGAAGACUAACUACUGCGAAAGCAUUUGCCAAGGAUGUUUUCUAUUAAAUUCAAGAACGAAAGUUAAGGGAGUCGAAGACGAUCAGAUACCGUCGUAGUCUUUACCCCAUAAACUAUGCCGACUAGGGGAUCGGAUGAUGUUAAUUUUUAUAAUGACUCAUUUGGCACCUUACGGGAAAC
rnacentral:rRNA from 1 species